rnacentral:rRNA from 1 species
UACGGGGGGGGCAAGCGUUGUUCGGAAUUACUGGGCGUAAAGGGCUCGUAGGCGGCCAACUAAGUCAGACGUGAAAUCCCUCGGCUUAACCGGGGAACUGCGUCUGAUACUGGAUGGCUCGAGUUUGGGAGAGGGAUGCGGAAUUCCAGGUGUAGCGGUGAAAUGCGUAGAUAUCCGGAGGAACACCGGUGGCGAAGGCGGCAUCCUGGACCAAUUCUGACGCUGAGGAGCGAAAGCCAGGGGAGCAAACGGG